GUAGGGAAUCUUCCACAAUGGACGCAAGUCUGAUGGAGCAACGCCGCGUGAGUGAAGAAGGUCUUCGGAUCGUAAAGCUCUGUUGUUGGUGAAGAAGGAUAGAGGCAGUAACUGGUCUUUAUUUGACGGUAAUCAACCAGAAAGUCACGGCUAACUACGUGCCAGCAGCCGCGGUAAUACGUAGGUGGCAAGCGUUGUCCGGAUUUAUUGGGCGUAAAGCGAGCGCAGGCGGAAUGAUAAGUCUGAUGUGAAAGCCCACGGCUCAACCGUGGAACUGCAUCGGAAACUGUCAUUCUUGAGUGCAGAAGAGGAGAGUGGAACUCCAUGUGUAGCGGUGGAAUGCGUAGAUAUAUGGAAGAACACCAGUGGCGAAGGCGGCUCUCUGGUCUGCAACUGACGCUGAGGCUCGAAAGCAUGGGUAGCGAACAGGAUUAGAUAC
rnacentral:rRNA from 1 species